rnacentral:rRNA from 1 species
UACGUAGGGUGCGAGCGUUGUCCGGAAUUAUUGGGCGUAAAGAGCUCGUAGGCGGUUUGUCGCGUCUGCCGUGAAAGUCCGGGGCUCAACUCCGGAUCUGCGGUGGGUACGGGCAGACUAGAGUGAUGUAGGGGAGACUGGAAUUCCUGGUGUAGCGGUGAAAUGCGCAGAUAUCGGGAGGAACACCGGUGGCGAAGGCGGUUCUCUGGGCCUGUACUGACGCUGAGGAGCGAAAGCGUGGGGAGCAAACAGG